GCUCACCUGAGCUGAAAGCUCAAGUGAGCUUUUCUGAUCACAUUUUGUCUGUCGUCCGUCUGUCCGUCUGUCCGUCCGUGUUUACGAGAGUGCAUGUAUUGGGUUCUUUUUAUACUUAAUUGGUACUAAUUGGGUACUUUUUUCUUAUUGGGUAUACCCAAGAGGAAGUGUCGCUUAAUCUACUUAAAAUGCCUUAAUUGGGUACAUGAAAGUUAGUACCCAACAAAACUUAGACACUGCGACUUGUCCAAUAAAGUGUCUGAAAAAGUUGCUUCUAUGGACGCACCAUGUAUUCGCUUCUAUAUCAUACUUUCGGAACACUAAAUUUAGCUAAGCUGCGGUCAUAGUAACUCCCGAGAGUUCCGAAAAGCCAUUCCGUUAAUCUUGUUCUAUCAAGCGUUUGAUAUCACACACAACAACAAUGGCGUCUGCAAGGCAUAGUGAGCACGAGGUCAAGAUCCCAAAAGUAAGUUUCUUGAUUUAUUCACACUUUAAAAAUAAGUCUUGCUUUGAUACAUUUUGUCAAACAUAAGGAUAUUUUACUUUAUUAAUCAAUUUUGAACUACAUUCGGAUAAUUAUAGUAAUAAAAGGACUUAUGUGUAUUUCGAAUUUCCUCUGUCUUGAUCGUCUUAACAUACAUUGAAUAGCGGAUGCCUUUUUUUAUGAAAGUAAAUUCAAUUCAAAACCACCACUGUCCUAGCCUCUGGUUUUUGCAAAGUUAAACCCGAACUUCACGCACGAGUGACCUGAGACAAUAGACAAUACAGUUAAACACUAUAGAGAGGCCCAAGCUGAGGGGGUAUACAGGUAUACACAGCUGUCCUGUUAAAUUGGUGAUUUGACACCUAAUUACUGGUGCAAUAAUUUGAUAAAUAACAACUGUAUUAUCUCCUUGAAAUUAGUAGGCUAAUUGUACAAGCUAGAUUAACACUGAGACAUCGUAAGGUUAUCUAAAAAAUAGAAAUAACACAAAAGAAUAUAUUUUAUGGAGAUAAUUUGAAAUUUCAACACCGAGGCAUCUAAAACCAUGAUUUGACUAAAGAAACAUUUUAAUAAAAAACUAGAUGUGAAGUUUUCCUAUUCUUUUCUAAGCUUUUAAGCUAUUGUCAGAUUAACCAGAAUUUUCUCUGUUUCCCAAAAAACGUAACUACACUUCUUGAAGAAUGCAGAAACUUAAUUAAUUCACAAUGAAAGAUUGCAAUAUUGUUUUGCAGAUUUUAAUGCCACUUGAUUUUUAAAAACCCUAAAAUAACAAUUUCAAUAUCCAAAUUUCUGUGGUAAAAAGGGUUUAAUAAUUUUGCCAUCAGUUGUCUACUUAUUUUCUUUUGAUUGAGAAGUGGACAGGCAUAGUCUACACUCAUGCUAUGCCUGUCUACUUCUCAAAAGAGAAUAUUGUCUACAUUAUACAUGUCCUAUGAUUCAUUACUGGAUACAGAUGUGUUCAAGUUUACAUAUAGCCUAAAUGAAAUAAAGAAUUUUUAAUGCAUUAUACUUUAAAACUAGUCAGACUGUUCUAAGGGAUGAAAAUAAAUGUAAAUCAAUUUAAGAGAGAAAAAAAAAUGAAAAUAAAAUAUUGAAUAACACUUUAUAUGUGAAUGCAAAAGCAAAUCAUUUUUUGUACAAUAAUAUUGUUUCAUUACAGAUCUUGAGGUCACAUUUGAUUACGAUGCAAAAUUUUCCUUAAAAUGCGCUUGUUUCCAAGGAUUAAUGAUUUAUAAUAUUACGCAAAAAAAGGUGCCUCUUUCAAGGUUUUAUAAUAUUUACCGCAUAGAAAAGUGCCCUUUUCACCAUUAUUUAACAUGCCCUUUUCAAAUCCUAGAUUUAACACUAUACCAGGCUAUAUAUUAAAAACUAUAUUAUUUAUGAAAGUGAGAAAUCGUAAAUGUGGAUUAUGAAUUUUUAUACUAUGCUACAUGUAACAUCUUGUAUAUUUUUGACGAUGAAUACAUUGUUGGGUAAAAUAAUAUUAAUAAAUCGCUUUUCUGGAACUUGAUAAAUUUGGAAAAAAGCAGUUUUCAGUUGCAAUUAAUUGAAUAAAACUUUCUUGUAGUGAUAGAAGAAGAAGACAUACAGGAAGAUAAAUAAGAGGAUACAUCACUUCGAGGAAAGAAAACCUCCUCAUCUACAUGAAUGAAAUGGACGGAGGCUGAACUGGAGGAGGUUAAGGAAUAUUUCAGAGAAUGUCUGAUCUCGAACACCACUCCAGGAAGAAUAACUUGCAAUAUGUGGAUAGAGGAAAGCAGAGCUAAUAUAAUAAGCGAUGGGAAACUCUAAAGAAGAAAGUGUGGAGUCUGCCCCCCCCCCCCCAAAAAAAAAAUAAAAAAUAAAAAAUAAAACCACCCUGACAGUUUUUGGAUCUAAAAUCUACAGCAAAACUUAAUUAUGUAAUGAUGUUUGUUUUCAUCUUCCUCCUUGCUCUUAUUACAGUGAAUUUUUUUUUUUUUAGUUAGACAAUUUUUUUUCAUUUUCAUCACCGUUUACCAUACUUUUCACUGAAAUUGAAUCAAUGGUAAUUUCUUUUAUUGUGAGAAAGACAUGCAUUGUAUCUUUUUAGAAAGGAUGUAAUCAGUUUGAGAAUGUUAUCAUUCAAAAGUACAUUUUCAUUUAAUUGGACAUUUGAUGAGAAUUUUGUUUGAUCAAGUCAAAUUAUUGCAAGAUUGCAAUUUAUUUAGCAGUAUGGUAGUAUAAAAUUAUUUGUAGUAUUUUCGUGGAUUUUCUUCAUUUGAUGAGAACUUCUUUUAUUAAAGGAACUGAUUGCCAAUUUUUGUUACUAAGCACUUGAUUUAUUUAAGACACCGUUUGCCCUUUGUCAUAAAUAUAUCUUUGUAUCAAAGCCUAGAUUAUUAUCUUUCUGUGUUUUGAAGAUAAAAACAAAAGAAAGUUGACACCUCUUAGUUUGGUAAUUACAUAUACUUUGUGGUAGAUGAAUUGAAGGUUUGUGGACAAAUUAUUUUCAUUAUAUUGCUUGAAUUUUCUUGAACUGUGGCCAUGUUGCAAUUAUUUAAGAUCCAUGCUUAGAAAAAUUGUUAAUUGCUAAAUUGUCAUUUGCAUAACAGCCAGGUAGUUGCAAAAUGAUGGUACAUGUACCUUGACCUAUCAUAAAUUGAUAUUUGUAAAGGUUUCUAGACCAGAUAUGUGGUGUUCAAAAAAUAUUUGAACUAUUUAAUGCUUAUAAUGCUUAUGAAUGCCAAUUGUUUUUUGAAAAAUAAAAACGAAAUGUUAAAAUCUC